AGAUUGAACGCUGGCGGAAUGCUUUACACAUGCAAGUCGAACGGCAGCACGGGACUCAGGCAACUGAGCCCUGGUGGCGAGUGGCGAACGGGUGAGUAACAUAUCGGAACGUACCCAGUCGUGGGGGAUAACUCUCCGAAAGGAGAGCUAAUACCGCAUACGUCCUGAGGGAGAAAGCGGGGGACCUAAGGGUAACUGAGGGCCUCGCGCGAUUGGAGCGGCCGAUAUCGGAUUAGCUAGUUGGUGAGGUAAAGGCUCACCAAGGCGACGAUCCGUAGCGGGUCUGAGAGGACGACCGCCACACUGGAACUGAGACACGGUCCAGACUCCUACGGGAGGCAGCAGUGGGGAAUUUUUGGACAAGUGGGGGCAACCCGUGAUCCAGCCAUUCCGCGUGAGUGAAGAAGGCCUUCGGUUGUAAAGCUCUUUCAGUCAGGUAACAAACGGUGGUACUUAACGUACGGACCUUACUAAUAGUACGGUACCUGCAAGAAGAAGCGACCGGACUAACUACCGUG
rnacentral:rRNA from 1 species